rnacentral:rRNA from 1 species
GACGGAAGGUGCAAGCGUUGCUCGGAAUCACUGGGCGUAAAGGGUGCGUAGGCGGCCGUGCAAGUCUGGCGUGAAAGCCCCGGGCUCAGCCCGGGAAGUGCGCUCGAAACUGCGCGGCUCGAGUGCCGGAGGGGAGAGUGGAAUUCCUGGUGUAGCAGUGAAAUGCGUAGAUAUCAGAAGGAACAUCAGUGGCGAAGGCGGCUUUCUUGGACCAAUACUGACGAUCAGGUGCGAAAGCGUGGGGAGCAAACAGG